AAUCAACGCUGGCGGCGUGCCUAACACAUGCAAGUCGAACGAGAAAGUGGAGCAAUCCAUGAGUACAGUGGCGUACGGGUGAGUAACACGUGACUAACCUACCCUCGAGUGGGGAAUAACCUCGGGAAACCGGGGCUAAUACCGCAUAACAUCUUCGGAUCAAAUGCGUAAGCAGCUUGGGGAGGGGUCGGCGGCCGAUUAGCUAGUUGGUGAGGUAAUGGCUCACCAAGGCAAUGAUCGGUAGCCGGCCUGAGAGGGCGCACGCCACACUGGACUGAACACGGUCCAGACUCCUACGGGAGGCAGCAGUGGGGUAAUUUUGCGCAAUGGGGGAAACCCGUGACGCAGCAACGCCGCGUGGAGGAUGAAGCCCCUUGGGUGUAAACUCCUUUCGAUCGGGACGAUUAUGACGGUACCGGA
rnacentral:rRNA from 1 species